rnacentral:rRNA from 3 species
AUCUGCGAUAAGCGCCGGUAAGGUGAUAUGAACCGUUAUAACCGGCGAUACCCGAAUGGGGAAACCCAGUGUGACUCGUCACACUAUCAUUAACUGAAUCCAUAGGUUAAUGAGGCGAACCGGGGGAACUGAAACAUCUAAGUACCCCGAGGAAAAGAAAUCAACCGAGAUUCCCCCAGUAGCGGCGAGCGAACGGGGAGGAGCCCAGAGCCUGAAUCAGCAUGUGUGUUAGUGGAAGCGUCUGGAAAGGCGCGCGAUACAGGGUGACAGCCCCGUACACAAAAGCGCAUGUGCUGUGAGCUCGAUGAGUAGGGCGGGACACGUGGUAUCCUGUCUGAAUAUGGGGGGACCAUCCUCCAAGGCUAAAUACUCCUGACUGACCGAUAGUGAACCAGUACCGUGAGGGAAAGGCGAAAAGAACCCCGGCGAGGGGAGUGAAAAAGAACCUGAAACCGUGUACGUACAAGCAGUGGGAGCACCCUUUGGGUGUGACUGCGUACCUUUUGUAUAAUGGGUCAGCGACUUAUAUUCUGUAGCAAGGUUAACCGAAUAGGGGAGCCGGAGGGAAACCGAGUCUUAAUUGGGCGUUAAGUUGCAGGGUAUAGACCCGAAACCCGGUGAUCUAGCCAUGGGCAGGUUGAAGGUUGGGUAACACUAACUGGAGGACCGAACCGACUAAUGUUGAAAAAUUAGCGGAUGACCUGUGGCUGGGGGUGAAAGGCCAAUCAAACCGGGAGAUAGCUGGUUCUCCCCGAAAGCUAUUUAGGUAGCGCCUCGUGAAUUCAUCUCCGGGGGUAGAGCACUGUUUCGGCUAGGGGGCCAUCCCGGCUUACCAACCCGAUGCAAACUGCGAAUACCGGAGAAUGUUAUCACGGGAGACACACGGCGGGUGCUAACGUCCGUCGUGAAGAGGGAAACAACCCAGACCGCCAGCUAAGGUCCCAAAGUCAUGGUUAAGUGGGAAACGAUGUGGGAAGGCCCAGACAGCCAGGAUGUUGGCUUAGAAGCAGCCAUCAUUUAAAGAAAGCGUAAUAGCUCACUGGUCGAGUCGGCCUGCGCGGAAGAUGUAACGGGGCUAAACCAUGCACCGAAGCUGCGGCAGCGACACUGUGUGUUGUUGGGUAGGGGAGCGUUCUGUAAGCCUGUGAAGGUGUGUCGUGAGGCAUGCUGGAGGUAUCAGAAGUGCGAAUGCUGACAUAAGUAACGAUAAAGCGGGUGAAAAGCCCGCUCGCCGGAAGACCAAGGGUUCCUGUCCAACGUUAAUCGGGGCAGGGUGAGUCGACCCCUAAGGCGAGGCCGAAAGGCGUAGUCGAUGGGAAACGGGUUAAUAUUCCCGUACUUGGUGUUACUGCGAAGGGGGGACGGAGAAGGCUAUGUUGGCCGGGCGACGGUUGUCCCGGUUUAAGCGUGUAGGUGUGUGUUCCAGGUAAAUCCGGUUCACUUUAACACUGAGGCGUGACGACGAGGCACUACGGUGCUGAAGCAACAAAUGCCCUGCUUCCAGGAAAAGCCUCUAAGCAUCAGGUAACAUCAAAUCGUACCCCAAACCGACACAGGUGGUCAGGUAGAGAAUACCAAGGCGCUUGAGAGAACUCGGGUGAAGGAACUAGGCAAAAUGGUGCCGUAACUUCGGGAGAAGGCACGCUGACACGUAGGUGAAGUGAUUUACUCAUGGAGCUGAAGUCAGUCGAAGAUACCAGCUGGCUGCAACUGUUUAUUAAAAACACAGCACUGUGCAAACACGAAAGUGGACGUAUACGGUGUGACGCCUGCCCGGUGCCGGAAGGUUAAUUGAUGGGGUCAGCGCAAGCGAAGCUCCUGAUCGAAGCCCCGGUAAACGGCGGCCGUAACUAUAACGGUCCUAAGGUAGCGAAAUUCCUUGUCGGGUAAGUUCCGACCUGCACGAAUGGCGUAAUGAUGGCCAGGCUGUCUCCACCCGAGACUCAGUGAAAUUGAACUCGCUGUGAAGAUGCAGUGUACCCGCGGCAAGACGGAAAGACCCCGUGAACCUUUACUAUAGCUUGACACUGAACAUUGAGCCUUGAUGUGUAGGAUAGGUGGGAGGCUUUGAAGUGUGGACGCCAGUCUGCAUGGAGCCGACCUUGAAAUACCACCCUUUAAUGUUUGAUGUUCUAACGUGGACCCGUUACCCGGGUUGCGGACAGUGUCUGGUGGGUAGUUUGACUGGGGCGGUCUCCUCCUAAAGAGUAACGGAGGAGCACGAAGGUUGGCUAAUCCUGGUCGGACAUCAGGAGGUUAGUGCAAUGGCAUAAGCCAGCUUGACUGCGAGCGUGACGGCGCGAGCAGGUGCGAAAGCAGGUCAUAGUGAUCCGGUGGUUCUGAAUGGAAGGGCCAUCGCUCAACGGAUAAAAGGUACUCCGGGGAUAACAGGCUGAUACCGCCCAAGAGUUCAUAUCGACGGCGGUGUUUGGCACCUCGAUGUCGGCUCAUCACAUCCUGGGGCUGAAGUAGGUCCCAAGGGUAUGGCUGUUCGCCAUUUAAAGUGGUACGCGAGCUGGGUUUAGAACGUCGUGAGACAGUUCGGUCCCUAUCUGCCGUGGGCGCUGGAGAACUGAGGGGGGCUGCUCCUAGUACGAGAGGACCGGAGUGGACGCAUCACUGGUGUUCGGGUUGUCAUGCCAAUGGCACUGCCCGGUAGCUAAAUGCGGAAGAGAUAAGUGCUGAAAGCAUCUAAGCACGAAACUUGCCCCGA